UACAUAUAACAUACAUACAUACAUACAUAAUGUUGUAUAGAAACAUCUAUACAACAUUAUGUAUGUAUGUAUGUGUACGUAUAUGUGUGUGUGUGUG
rnacentral:pre_miRNA from 1 species